rnacentral:lncRNA from 1 species
GGAAAAGCAGACUCCCCGGUGAGCAGGGAGCAGGACAUGGGAGUCAAUCCCAAGACUCUGAGAUCAUGACCUGAGCCAAAGGCAGACGCUUAGCUGACUGAGCCACCCAGUUGCCCCUCUAACUAAUUUUUUCCCCCAUUAAUUUGAGAGGGAAAGAGGGAGCAGGAGGAGAAGGGGCAGAGGGAGAGGGAGAGAGAAUCUCGAGCAGACUCUGCACCCAGUAUGGAGCCCAAGGUAGGGCUUGAUCCCACAACCCUGAGGCCAAAACCAAGAGUCAGAUGCCUGACCGACUGCACCACCCAGGCGCCCCAAUAUAACAGAUCUUUAAGACUCCACCCUGCGGGCCCCUGCCUUAAUCCUCGGAUGUCCUUUUAUACCUGCCCAAUUAGACUUCCUGCCAGCAUCAUCUGUUCCUGUUACCAUCCUGCUGGGAAGUACUGGGAUCAGUUUGCCUCACGUCAUUACAAGGUCGUCACGCUAAGGAACAUUAAGUAACGUAAAUGGUGGUAUCCUCAACGCUGCCUCCACGGUCGAUAUAAAUUCCAGGCUGCACUACUUAUUACCUGGGUGACCUUGGGUAAGUUAUUAACCUCUCUAAGCGUCCGUUUUCUCACCGAUAAAAUGGGGAUAAUAUAAUGAUAAUAACAAACUACCUCUCUGGGCUGUUGUGAUUAAAUUAGAUAAUCCAGGUGAAACAUUUAAAAAAUUAUCUAUCUUUGAAAACACAUAACAUUUAAAUUUCAUUACAGAGAAUAAUGGGUCUUAGAAAAUCGAAGUGGGGAUUCCAAGUUGAAAGAUCCUAAGAGAGAGGGAAGAAGUGCCUUGUGGGUGCCUUCCAACUCUGAGAUUCUCCGAGGUGCUGGAUUCCAGAACUUUGUACUUGUACUUGCAUUCUGAGGUUGGACGUGACAGUCACAGAUUAAAUUUAACCCUCUUAAUUUAUUACCCUAUUCCAGGCUUCUCCUAGGGCUGAUUACAGUUAUCAAUUUGAAGUAUACCCUUCCAGAACCAUUUUAUAGGCAUGUACAUACAAAUAUUUGUUUGAAUGGAAAAAUUAUGGUUUUAUUUUGUGAGUCCCAUGCCUUUUUCUUGGGGGAAAAAAAAAAAGUCAUGAUGUGUAAUUUUCUGCAUAUAAAAACACAUUUUUAAUACUUGAGCCAGGCCCCAAGAGGUUAUUUCCAUAGUGUAUACAUCUGUAGUGCUGCCUCACCUAAAACGUUUACACUUUAACCUUGGCAGUCUUUCUUAGACCCAGGCAAAAAUAAUUGCAAGGAAGGGAUUUGGCAGAAGCCUCUUACACGUAGCCUCCUUCGACGAGGCUUAGGGAAUCGUGACCCCUGGUGGCCAGGAAUGGACUUUAAAGAAAGAGACCGGCCAGCAUUCCGUCAGAUCGGUAACUUCUCUCCCUCGCCGCGUGGAGCGCUUGGCUGGGGAUGAGCUCCUGCCUCUUUAAAGAGGUCCCACUACGGGGACCCCAAGACGAUGACCGACCCCG